rnacentral:rRNA from 1 species
CGAAUGAAUGAGAAUUUUUUCAAUCUGACAAGUGGGGUUGAAAGCCUUGGCAUGUAGUGUAAAACUGCAUCACCAAUGGGGGUUUGAAUGAAUGCUUCUUGGAACAGAGCAGCAAUAAGGGUGAUACUCCUGUUUGCCAUUGAUAAAUCCUUGUGUACUGCAUGCAUGUGCUGACUCACACUUUUUGGGAAUGAAGUGCAAAUUGGGUGGUAAGUUUCAUUCAAAGAUGCAUAUAAGCUUGAGACUGAUAGUGCACAAGUACCUUGAGGGAAAAAUGAAAAGGACUUUGAAAAGAAAGUUAAAAGAGCCUUAACCUGCUGAGUGGAAAGCAAGCAGACACACUAAAUGUGUGAAAGAUUGCUGUUGUGGUGUACAUCUACUGCAUCAGUUGGUGUGGUGCAAACACAAUGGUGCAUCUUCUUACGUCGCCAUUGCUAAUUCAAUAAUGCGCAUUGAUUGGGAGUUAACACUAUUGCUUGCUGGCAAAGUGU